rnacentral:lncRNA from 1 species
GUAUAAUGAUAACCAGAUGCUCCGCAGGGCGCAGCUUUAUAAGACCGCAGAGGUUGAACCCUGAACGGUUGGGGCAAGUAUGGACACAACAUUCAAGCUGGAUUCAGCUCUAAAUUUGGAUUGUGAUUAAAUAGUUGACACAGCAUAGGUUUCUGACACAGAAUGAAUGUGGUCUAAUGAACUUAAAAUUUUUGUUUUGCCUUUGAGCAAUUCACUAUGCUGUUGAAUAUUAAUCCUCUCAAAAAAAUGUUUGAAGAAAUUUUCUUUUUAUUUAUGAAAUCUGAAAUGAGAAAAAUUGACCCCCCCCCCCCCCAAUUUUUUUUUUCACAUCCCCCUUUCCCUUAUUCCAAAACUGAUCUCAAUUCAAAUUUCUAAUGGAGUUUGCAACAAUAACUACUCAUUUAAAUACAUCAUAAAAUAUUAAAAUGUAAAAAAAGUGC